UCUGCGCUGUCAGCAUUCAGAGCCCAAUGUGGGGUUCGUGAGACCGUGACCUGAGCCAAAGUCAGGCACUUAACCAACUGACCUGCCCUGGUGCCCCUGCUGGUUCUAUUAAUUAUGCUCUGGUAUACUGUCAUCUGUUCACUCUGAUGAAGUCAGAUGCUCUACAGAGAGGGUUACGUGGCAAGGAAGUGAAGGCCUCCAGCCAACAGCUCGGAAGGACCUGAUGCUUUGGUUCAACAACCCAUGAGAAACCGAAUCCUGCAGCAACCACACAGGUUUGCUGGGAAGUAGCUCCUAACCCGAUGAGCCUGAAGAUGACUGCAGCCUGUGACAGCUGAGACAUGCCUGGCUUCCUGGUCCACAAAAGUUAUGAGGUUAUAAUAAAGGGUUUUUUAAGCCA